GCUCCUACGGGGCGCAGCAGUAGGGAAUCUUCCACAAUGGGCGCAAGCCUGAUGGAGCAACACCGCGUGAGUGAAGAAGGGUUUCGGCUCGUAAAGCUCUGUUGUUGGAGAAGAACGUGCGUGAGAGUAACUGUUCACGCAGUGACGGUAUCUAACCAGAAAGCCACGGCUAACUACGUGCCAGCAGCCGCGGUAAUACGUAGGUGGCAAGCGUUAUCCGGAUUUAUUGGGCGUAAAGGGAACGCAGGCGGUCUUUUAAGUCU
rnacentral:rRNA from 1 species